GACGAACGCUGGCGGCAUGCUUAACACAUGCAAGUCGAACGGAAAGGCCCUGCUUUUGUGGGGUGCUCGAGUGGCGAACGGUUGAGUAACACGUGAGUAACCUGCCCUUGACUUUGGGAUAACUUCAGGAAACUGGGGCUAAUACCGGAUAGGAGCUCCUGCUGCAUGGUGGGGGUUGGAAAAUUUCGGCGGUUGGGGAUGGACUCGCGGCUUAUCAGCUUGUUGGUGGGGUAGUGGCUUACCAAGGCUUUGACGGGUAGCCGGCCUGAGAGGGUGACCGGCCACAUUGGGACUGAGAUACGGCCCAGACUCCUACGGGAGGCAGCAGUGGGGGAUAUUGCACAAUGGGCGGAAGCCUGAUGCAGCAACGCCGCGUGCGGGAUGACGGCCUUCGGGUUGUAAACCGCUUUCGCCUGUGACGAAGCGUGAGUGACGGUAAUGGGUAAAGAAGCACCGGCUAACUACGUG
rnacentral:rRNA from 1 species